GAAACCUCAAAUUAAAAAAAAAAUAUGCAUAUGUUUUUUAUAACUAAAUGGAUAGUUUUCAUUUUACAACUUAUGUACAUAUACUUUUUUCUGAGGAAAGUUCUUUAAUUUGUCCACAUUUAGAAGAAGUUUACUUAUUUUUAAUUGCUUGGUUCCAGGAAGCAAUUCGCCGACAUAUUUUCCGUAUGCAUAGUGACCUGAGCGUAACCC
rnacentral:lncRNA from 1 species